AUUGAACGCUGGCGGCAUGCCUUACACAUGCAAGUCGAACGGCAGCACGGGAGCAAUCCUGGUGGCGAGUGGCGAACGGGUGAGUAAUAUAUCGGAACGUGCCCAGUCGUGGGGGAUAACUACUCGAAAGAGUGGCUAAUACCGCAUACGACCUGAGGGUGAAAGCGGGGGAUCGCAAGACCUCGCGCAAUUGGAGCGGCCGAUAUCAGAUUAGGUAGUUGGUGAGGUAAAGGCUCACCAAGCCGACGAUCUGUAGCUGGUCUGAGAGGACGACCAGCCACACUGGGACUGAGACACGGCCCAGACUCCUACGGGAGGCAGCAGUGGGGAAUUUUGGACAAUGGACGCAAGUCUGAUCCAGCCAUGCCGCGUGCGGGAAGAAGGCCUGG
rnacentral:rRNA from 1 species